AUUGAACGCUGGCGGCAUGCUUUACACAUGCAAGUCGAACGGCAGCGCGGGCUUCGGCCUGGCGGCGAGUGGCGAACGGGUGAGUAAUGCAUCGGAACGUGCCCAGUAGUGGGGGAUAGCCCGGCGAAAGCCGGAUUAAUACCGCAUACGACCUGAGGGUGAAAGCGGGGGACCGAAAGGCCUCGCGCUAUUGGAGCGGCCGAUGUCGGAUUAGCUAGUUGGUGGGGUAAAGGCUUACCAAGGCGACGAUCCGUAGCUGGUCUGAGAGGACGACCAGCCACACUGGGACUGAGACACGGCCCAGACUCCUACGGGAGGCAGCAGUGGGGAAUUUUGGACAAUGGGGGCAACCCUGAUCCAGCCACGCCGCGUGCGGGAAGAAGGCCUUCGGGUUGUAAACCGCUUUUGUUCGGGAAGAAAUCCUCUGGGCUAAUACCCCGGGGGGAUGACGGUACCGGAAGAAUAAGCACCGGCUAACUACGU
rnacentral:rRNA from 1 species